AUGAACGCUAGCGACAGGCCUAACACAUGCAAGUCAGGGCAGCACAAGGAGCAAUCUGAGGUGGCGACCGGCGCACGGGUGAGUAACACGUAUGCAACCUGCCUGUAAGCGGGGAAUAACCCGUUGAAAGACGGACUAAUACCGCAUAAUACUAAAUUACUGCAUGGUAAUUUAUUUAAACAUUUAUGGCUUACAGAUGGGCAUGCGCAUGAUUAGCUAGUUGGAGAGGUAACGGCUCCCCAAGGCAACGAUCAUUAGGGGUUCUGAGAGGAAGGUCCCCCACACUGGUACUGAGACACGGACCAGACUCCUACGGGAGGCAGCAGUGAGGAAUAUUGGUCAAUGGACGAGAGUCUGAACCAGCCAAGUCGCGUGCAGGAAGAAUGUCCCUAUGGAUUGUAAACUGCUUUUGCAGGGGAAUAAAGUGCAUCACGUGUGAUGUUUUGUAUGUACUCUGCGAAUAAGGAUCGGCUAACUCCGUGCCAGCAGCCGC
rnacentral:rRNA from 1 species